rnacentral:misc_RNA from 1 species
CAACGAAAAAACGCUCCCGAAAGGGACGUUAUUUCACACCAUUGUGUACCAAACUUUUGUUGCCUCGGUGGGUCGGGCUGCGCCUACCCGGCCAGUCCCCCUUAGGGAGCCGCCCACCGCAGGACCUUUCAAACCAGUUCGUUGAUGAACGUCUGAUUUUAUCUUUUAAAGAAAUA